GACGUAGGGGGCGAGCGUUGUCCGGAUUUAUUGGGCGUAAAGCGCGCGCAGGCGGCCGUGCAAGUCGGAUGUGAAAACCCGAGGCUCAACCUCGGGCCUGCAUUCGAUACUGCUCGGCUCGAGGCAGGUAGGGGAGAUCGGAAUUCCCGGUGUAGCGGUGAAAUGCGCAGAUAUCGGGAGGAACACCGGUGGCGAAGGCGGAUCUCUGGGCCUGUCCUGACGCUCAGGCGCGAAAGCUAGGGGAGCGAACAGGAUUAGAUACCCUAGUAGU
rnacentral:rRNA from 1 species